GACGAACGCUGGCGGCGUGCUUAACACAUGCAAGUCGAGCGAGGCCCCUCCUUCGGGAGGGUGUCCUAGCGGCGAACGGGUGAGUAACACGUGGGCAACCUGCCCUCAGCUCUGGGAUAACUCCGGGAAACCGGGGCUAAUACCGGAUACGACCUCCACGGGCAUCUGCGGAGGUGGAAAGUUUUUCGGCUGAGGAUGGGCCCGCGGCCUAUCAGCUAGUUGGUGGGGUAGUGGCUCACCAAGGCGACGACGGGUAGCCGGCCUGAGAGGGCGACCGGCCACACUGGGACUGAGACACGGCCCAGACUCCUACGGGAGGCAGCAGUGGGGAAUAUUGCGCAAUGGGCGAAAGCCUGACGCAGCGACGCCGCGUGAGGGACGAAGGCCUUCGGGUUGUAAACCUCUUUCAGCAGGGACGAAGCGAAAGUGACGGUACCUGCAGAAGAAGCACCGGCCAACUACGUG
rnacentral:rRNA from 1 species